AACACAUGCAAGUCGAGCGGAAAGGCCCUUCGGGGUACUCGAGCGGCGAACGGGUGAGUAACACGUGAGCAACCUGCCCCUAGCUCUGGGAUAGCUCCGGGAAACCGGGAUUAAUACCAGAUACGACCACUUUAGACAUCUGCCGUGGUGGAAAGGAUUCCGGCUAGGGAUGGGCUCGCGGCCUAUCAGCUUGUUGGUGGGGUAAAGGCCUACCAAGGCGACGACGGGUAGCCGGCCUGAGAGGGCGACCGGCCACACUGGGACUGAGACACGGCCCAGACUCCUACGGGAGGCAGCAGUGGGGAAUAUUGCGCAAUGGGCGAAAGCCUGACGCAGCGACGCCGCGUGAGGGAUGAAGGCCUUCGGGUUGUAAACCUCUUUCAGCAGGGACGAAGCGAAAGUGACGGUACCUGCAGAAGAAG
rnacentral:rRNA from 1 species